rnacentral:rRNA from 1 species
UACGUAGGGGGCAAGCGUUGUCCGGAAUCAUUGGGCGUAAAGAGCGUGUAGGCGGCCCGAUAAGUCCGCCGUGAAAGUCCAGGGCUCAACCCUGGAAUGCCGGUGGAAACUGCCGGGCUAGAGUCCGGAAGAGGCGAGUGGAAUUCCUGGUGUAGUGGUGGAAUGCGCAGAUAUCAGGAGGAACACCAAUAGCGAAGGCAGCUCGCUGGGACGGUACUGACGCUGAGGCGCGAAAGCGUGGGGAGCGAACAGG